rnacentral:lncRNA from 1 species
CCACUUUGGGAGGCUGAAGUGAGUGGAUCAUGAGGUCAGGAGUUGAAGACCAGCCUGGCCAACAUAGUGAAACCCCGUCUCAAUACAAAAAAUUAGCCAGGCGUGGAGGUGGGCACCUGUAAUCCCAGCUGCUUGAGAGGCUGAGGCAGGAGAAUCUCUUGAACCUGGGAGGUGGAGGUUGCAGUGAGCUGAGAUCAAGGCAUUGCACUCCAGCCUGGGUGACAGAGUAAGACUCCAUCUCAAAAACAAAAAACAAAAAAAAACUAGUAGUAAAGUCAGCACCUGUUAGUAGAGUUAUAAAGCUGUUAAACAGUUUUAAGAAAUUAUGUCUAGGGAAGUGAUGAAAAUUUUCUGCUGAAUUAUUUAAAAUUAGAUUGUCAGUUUGGCAAAGCAGUGAUAAUGUCUGCUUCUAUUUUGAUGAAAUUAUUUCAUACUGCAUUUCCAUUUCUAAAAUCAGAGACCUUUCUCUACUUACAAAUCCAUAGGAAACAUUAUUUGUAUAUGAGUUUCAAUUUUGUGCCAGUUAAACAUGAAGUUUUAAGUCACAGUCACAAAAGAAGAUUGAUUUACAAAAGCAGAUUGUUAUUGAAUCUACAUUUGAUGUUUCCUUCUGACACAAAAAGAAUUCAUCUCCUCCACCUGGUCUUAAACUUCUGAGGGGACCAAAGCUGGCCUUCCAUAGCCCACCUGCUCUGGCUUUUCACAGGGCAGAAGGAGAAGAUGACUUACGAUGCAGCUGAAGAGUGCACAUGCAGUUGGACUGAACACCAGCAUGUAAGGUGUGUUUCUGUUACUGUUUUGGGUAAGCUCAAUGAAUGAUGAUGAGGACAUGGACAAGUCAUAAGUCAUAUUCCAUAACCACCUCCAUCAUGGAGAUUUGGGUUGGGAAAAACUUUCUGUUGAUGGAAUUAGAUAUACAUAUGUUGAAUGCCAUUUUGAACACUGGUCACAGAUCUUCAGAGUUUAAAUCACUUUCACCAUAGUUUUGGCAGGACCGUGAACACAUUUUUUUCAGUUGUUCUUCCUGAUGGGAGCUAUAAAUAGCGUUGGGGAAGGAUAUAAUUAUCACAAAGUAGAAGCUAAAGAUAAAAAAUAUGCUUGAGAUUUUUAAAGGAACAUUUAGUAGUUAUUAUUAUGUAACAUUUAUUAAGUAUGCUCACUGUGCUCAUUGUCUUUGCCAGGAAGAAACUGGGAAUAAAAAGUCAAUCCAAGAUGUGACAUUUUAAAUAGACUAAAGGUACAUACAUUAACAUGGUGCAAGAACAAACAGCUGGCUUAAUAAAAAAAGAAAAUUUACAAGAACAAAAAGGCAGCCAAAUCAGUCUACUAGUGUAUAGAAGUGGGGAAAACUUAAAUUUAGCAUCAGAUCUUUAAAACACUUACCAUUGAAAACAAAGAUGGAUAGCCAUGUAAAAACAGGAAACAUUGGCUGGGUGCAGUGACUCACGCCUGUAAUCCUAGCACCUUGGGAGGCCAAGGCAGGCAGAUUGCCUGAGCUCAGGAGUUUGAGACCAG